rnacentral:rRNA from 1 species
GACGAACGCUGGCGGCGUGCCUAAUACAUGCAAGUGGAACGCUGAAGGAGGAGCUUGCUUCUCUGGAUGAGUUGCGAACGGGUGAGUAACGCGUAGGUAACCUGCCUGGUAGCGGGGGAUAACUAUUGGAAACGAUAGCUAAUACCGCAUAACAGUAGAUGUUGCAUGACAUUUGCUUAAAAGGUGCAAUUGCAUCACUACCAGAUGGACCUGCGUUGUAUUAGCUAGUUGGUGGGGUAACGGCUCACCAAGGCGACGAUACAUAGCCGACCUGAGAGGGUGAUCGGCCACACUGGGACUGAGACACGGCCCAGACUCCUACGGGAGGCAGCAGUAGGGAAUCUUCGGCAAUGGACGGAAGUCUGACCGAGCAACGCCGCGUGAGUGAAGAAGGUUUUCGGAUCGUAAAGCUCUGUUGUAAGAGAAGAACGAGUGUGAGAGUGGAAAGUUCACACUG